UUGACUUAUUGAUUUUAACAACAUAGAAGUUGCAAUGUUGCUGAAUAAUGUGAAGUUGGUAUCUCGAGCCCGUUCCCAGGGUAAAGAUCUAUUCAAUAUAGUAGUAAUUAUAUUGAAAAGUGAAUUUGAGAUGUAUGGAUAGUUUGGCAUUAUUGAGAUGUAAACGUAUUGUAUGGUAUUAAUAUUCUUUGUAAUUGGCAUUAAAAAGAAUUAUUGGGAUGUAAACGUAUUGUAUGG
rnacentral:lncRNA from 1 species